GUAGCACACCUUGCUUCUAGGUGCAAGCCUAAGGAGAAAUGGAGAAUAGGUACAGAACAUGAAAAGUUUGGCUUUGAGAGUGAAACUUUAAGGCCCAUGAAGUACGAACAGAUAGCAGAGUUGUUCAAUGGUAUUGCUGAGAGAUUUGACUGGGAUAAAAUAAUGGAGGG